ACAGUAUUGGUCCAAUGGUUAGGAUUCUUCCCUUCCAAGGAAGAGGUCGGUGUUCGAUUCACCGAUACUGUA